UAUUGCUUGGUUGGAAAGAAACCCUGCAGCCACACGGCCCUUUCUGGAACCAGUUUGACACCCCUGACGUAGGCAAAUAAGAUGCAGGGGCUCAAUGUCAGCAGGUUUUAUACUCCGUGUAUAUUUAUGGGCCAAAUCGUAAGAUGCCUCUAAAUGUUUAUGUUUGCAAACCCUUAACAAUAGAAGCUGUCGCUCGUCCACCAUGUUUUUCUUUCUUGUCCUUAUUUGCUGCUGAUUGGGUGAAUCCGGUAGAUGGUGACAAGACAUGUUUUGGAAGCUGCUUUUGUCAUGAUCUGCUCUGAUAGCUGUCUUUAAUUGAUUAUCUCACUCACCUGCCUAGUUUUGCCCAGUUCCUAAUUAUCUCUGAUCUUUAUCCACCUGUAGGUGAUGACUUAUAUUUGGUCCAGCCCAGCUAUCAAGGCCAGAUCAUUGUUUGAGUUUCUUUUUGUGUCCUGUAUGUCAGUUUUGUUUGGUUAGAUUUAUUUCCAAGGGUCCUGUCCCCGGUUCCAGUAGGAGAUUACUCUUGAGCCCUUGUCUUCAGUUGGACUCCUCCUGGCUUCUGCCUCCCAGGUGCGUUUCUGUCUGAGUUGGAUGCUUGACGCACGCGACUCUGAACCUGCCUUCACGCGCUGAUGGAUUCUCGGAACCCAGAUCUGUCCGUUCCUGAGUGGAAUCGGAACCCCUGACCGGACUGCAGAUUCCUUGAUUCCACUGCUACUCCAGUCUGAUCUGAAUCCCUGACCUGGAUCGGAGUCCUGCCUCUUCACUGGGGUUGUUGCAUCAGGGAUCUUGUUGGCAGUACAUCAGCUGAUCCUGCCUAUCAUUGAGAGGAUGGACUGAACUGUUAAACCAGAGUGUCAGUGUUUGGGCGGCCCCCCUCCUGCAGUCGCUACAAGUCCGCAGAUCUUCAGAAGCUCGUUUAUGUUCUGUUUUGUUUAUGUAUUAAUAAACAUUUAAAACUUU